rnacentral:rRNA from 1 species
UACGGAGGAUCCAAGCGUUAUCCGGAUUUAUUGGGUUUAAAGGGCGCGUAGGCGGCUGCGUAAGUCUCGGGUGAAAUCUUUCGGCCCAACCGGAAACGUGCCUGGGAUACUGCGCAGCUGGAGGGGGAUAGGGGCGGACGGAACUUCCGGUGGGAGCGGUGAAAUGCGUUGAUAUCGGAAGGAACGCCGGUGGCGAAAGCGGUCCGCUGGAUCCCUACUGACGCUGAGGCGCGAAGCCAGGGGAGCAAACGGG